rnacentral:pre_miRNA from 1 species
UCUUCAUUUCACGCGCUCUCUCACCGGUCAGAGAGGCGAGAGAGUGUGCAAAAUGAAGAGA